AGGCCAGGAGUGUUCAGGCGAAAAUGCAAACAACUGUGUGUCGGGUGCCUACUGCAUGACUACUUGUGAAUGUGAAGAUGACUACAAGGCUGUGUCCAAUCUCUGUGAACCUGCGGACUCUGGAACUGGAGGCACUUUCACACUCAACUCUAAGCGCAGCGCUGUCCGCAAGAUGUGGUUGUUCAGGUAGAGACUGACAUCAGGCACACAGUUGCUGACGAUAGUGGGAUGGCAUU